UGAGGAAUCUUGCGCAAUGGGCGAAAGCCUGACGCAGCCACGCCGCGUGCCGGAUGAAGGCCCUAUGGGUUGUAAACGGCUUUUGUAAGGGAAGAACGCCCGGGAUUUGUCCUGGGGUGACGGUACCUUAUGAAUAAGCACCGGCUAACUCCGUGCCAGCAGCCGCGGUAAUACGGAGGGUGCAAGCGUUGUCCGGAAUCAUUGGGUGUAAAGGGUGCGUAGGCGGGCAUUUAAGUCUGGGGUGAAAUCUUGCCGCUUAACGGUAAAAUGGCCUUGGAUACUGAAUGUCUUGAGUGUAGAAGAGGCAGGUGGAAUUCGUAGUGUAGCGGUGAAAUGCAUAGAUAUUACGAUGAACAUCAGUGGCGAAGGCGGCCUGCUGGUCUACAACUGACGCUGAGGCACGAAAGCGUGGGGAGCGAACAGGAUUAGAUACCCCCGUAGUCC
rnacentral:rRNA from 1 species